rnacentral:rRNA from 1 species
UACAGAGGGGGCGAGCGUUGUUCGGAAUUACUGGGCGUAAAGGGCGCGUAGGCGGCCAACUAAGUCAGACGUGAAAUCCCUCGGCUCAAUCGGGGAACUGCGUCUGAUACUGGAUGGCUUGAAUUCGGGAGAGGGAUGCGGAAUUCCAGGUGUAGCGGUGAAAUGCGUAGAUAUCUGGAGGAACACCGGUGGCGAAGGCGGCAUCCUGGACCGAGAUUGACGCUGAUGCGCGGAAGCCAGGGGAGCAAACGGG